GGGAUUGUGGCUCAGUGGAAGAGCACUCACCUAGUAUGUGCGAGGCCCUGGGUUUGAUCCUCAGCACCA
rnacentral:tRNA from 1 species